CUUGGUCAUUUAGAGGAAGUAAAAGUCGUAACAAGGUUUCCGUAGGUGAACCUGCGGAAGGAUCAUUUAUGAGCGAGCCGUAAGGCGAGCAUAAUAUCCAUAACACUGUGAACUGUUGGCUUCGGCCAAAUUUUUACAAACUUUUGUGUAAUGAACGUAAAAUACUAUAAUCAAUAAAACUUUCAACAACGGAUCUCUUGGCUCUCACAUCGAUGAAGAACGCAGCGAAAUGCGAUAAGUAAUGUGAAUUGCAGAAUUCAGUGAAUCAUCGAAUCUUUGAACGCACCUUGCACCUUUUGGUAUUCCGAAAGGUAUGCCUGUUUGAGUGUCUUGAAACCUCACACCCUAGAGUUUUCUCUAGGGACGUGGAUUUGGGUGUUGCACCUUGCUCACCUUGAAUUUCUUAGUGGUUCCAACCGUAGCCUGAUGUAAUAAGUUUCAUCUGGUCAAGGGAAGACUGCUUCUAAUCGCCUCGCGGCACUAUUUAAGACUAGACCUCAAAUCAGGUAGGACUACCCGCUGAACUUAAGCAUAUCAAUAAGCGGAGGA
rnacentral:rRNA from 1 species